UUUUUUUUUUUUUUUUUUUUUUUUUUUGAGAUAGAGUCUUGCUCUGUGGCCCAGGCUCAAGUGCAGUGACGUGAUCUCGGCCCAUUGCAACCUCCGCCUUCCAGGUUCAAAUGAUUCUCCUGCCUCAGCCUCCUGAGUAGCUGGGAUUACAGGACUGUGCCACCACACCUGGCUAAUUUUUGUAUUUUUAGUAGAGACAAGGUUUCCCCACGUUGGCCAGGCUGGUCUUGAACUCCUGACCUCAAGUGAUCCACCCACCUCGGCCUCCCAAAGUGCUGGGAUUACAGGCGUGAGCCACCAUGCCCAGCCCAUUCCUUCUUUUCCAUUCCCACUGACACCAUCCUAUGUUCAGGCCCUAAUUAUACCCCACCUCUGUUAACAUCUUCAUUGUUGUUUACUGUUGCCCUAACACCCUCCAAUCAACCAUUCAUCGAUGCCACAAGAUCCAGCUUCCUAAAAUCCAGCCAUACCAACAUACCAGUACACCAACGGCCUGCUCCAAGAUCUUCAACAACUCCUAUUAUCCACUGAUUUAAGGAAUGAUGAUAGCUCUAUGUGCCAGAAACUUUACAUACAUUAUCUUAUUUAAUCUUUUCAGUAAUCUUUCAAUGUAAGUGUUAUUACCCUCAUCCCCGUUUUCAGGCAGGACUUGCCCAGGUUUGCACAGCAGCACCAGAAAAACCCCGUGUCUGUCUGACUGUAUGACCCUUCGUCACCUCUUUACAAUACAUCCUGCUGUAAUCUAGGCCGCUGGACAUUCACAAUGGCUCUCUAGUUCAUCUUUCUAGCUGUGUCUAUCACUACCUAUAUCUUAUAGGGUCUACAUUGUUGAGCCAUAUAAAGGUGCCAUUUUUGUAGGUCAAAAAUGGUGAAGUGUGGACAAUUUCAAGUGGUUCAACUAUAUAUGUGUAUAUAUAUUGGUGUACAUAUACAUUUAUAAAGAUACAUGUACAGUUUUGCAUAUUACAUAUGCAUACAUAUAUGUGCAGUAAGUCUUCACUUCACCAAUAGGUUUUUGGAAACUGCAAUUUUAAGUGAAACAAUGUAUAACAAAAUCAUGUUUUUUUCUCCUUUACGUUAUAACAAAAUGAUAUGAAUGAAAUGAUAUUAUUGGAGGACUUGCUGCACAUUAUCAGUUCUCUUGAAGUCAAAGUGCCGUGGACAGUUACUAUAUAUAUAUAUAUAUACACACACACAUACCCUCAUAUACGUGUCUGUGCGUAUAUAUAUUCUGUAUCAGUAUCUCUCACCCAAGGUGAUUUUUCCCCCAACCCCAAGGUCAAUUGGCAAUGUCUGGAGACAUUCCGGGUUGUUACCACUGGGGUCGGAGUGUCACUAGCAUCCAGUGGGUUGACAGCGAGAUGCCGCUACACAGCCUACAGCUCACAGGACAGCCCCCACAACAAAGAAUUAUCCGGCCAAAAUGUCAGUCAUGCUGCAGCUGAGAAACCAUUUCCUCUAUUGAAGAAGAGCUGUGGAUGCCCUGUCUUCUUUCUGGAAUGCUGAUUUCUGCCAUCUCCACCUGUUGAAAUACUGCUUACCCUCCAAGAUGCCUUCAGUGCUCUUUGCACCUGGAUCUUUUGCUGGUGGAGAGGCAUCCUCGCUCAUGUCCUUGGCCCUCCACUGCUAUUUAACAUGCACCACAUAUUACUUCUUUGAGUUACCAUUAGCAUUUCUGUCUUAAAGCUGAAAAUAUAAUAGACUUACCGUAAACUCCACAAGGGCAAAUACCCACUUCUUGCUUAUCUUUGUACCUUCUUUAGAUCCUAGUAAUUUAACUAAAAUACAAAGCAGACCAUGAAAAGUAAUGGAAUAUUAAAGAUACUGUACUAGCCUUAUUGGACUGUACAAAAAAAUUAAUUCUGGUCAGAAGACUUCUAGGAGAUGGCGUUGAACCUGCCCUGUUCCUAGCAAAUUUUCUCUCUGACAAAGUACCAACUCUUUUGCAAUUAUGUGUGAAAGUGUUUAAGCUUCCAACCUGUGUGAGUAUUUAGGGAUCCUUAAGACUGCUAAGUUAAUUGGGGUGAUGGCUUUUCUGAAAUGCUAGGUUUUAUAAAAUUAAGGACCACACCUGAAUUAUACAGCACAGUGCAAUGUCCGAAUGAUGACCGAAGCCUGCCUCUGUGGGUGAUAAGGCAUAGCAUUGCCUAGGUGGGGAGUCACCGAGGCCUGCAGUAUUGACUAUGUUAUGAUGAUUGUGAAACAGUCUCUACAUAUUUAAGAGGCACUCCUUUUCACAGAGUAAGAAAAGCUAACCCGUAGGACAGUCAGCCACCUCCAUUACACAACUGUAACCUCAAGCAUAAGUUUGUAGAGUUCCCAGAAUUACCCUCACCAUCCCUCUUGGGAGUUCCCCUCUUUCAAAAACCUCUGGACUCCUUUCUGUCUCAGCAGAGACUGAAGGGAGGGAGGGAGAUGACCAAAUCCUUAAUCAGAAACUUCCUGACCACACCUGUGCCUUACCGGCUCAUGAGUAGCACCUGUUCCCCAGGAUAGACACCUGAGUCACCCUCUUACUAAUUCUCCUCUGGCCAAACCCCAGAAUCUGUCAAUCCCGCUCUGUCCUCACCCGCCUUCAUCGUGGGAGAUUUCACCUUCUCUUGCCCAGCCCAUGGGAACAGCCCAUGAUUCAACUCCACUGCAGCCGCAGUUCACAAUACAGAAUUCUAAUCCAAGGAAGUCGCUCCUUUGACUGAAAACCUUCCAUGACUCUCCAUUACCUACCAAUCACUAGAGCACAAUUAUAACUCCAAGUACUAAUCUGUUUUCCCCACACCAGGUGUUCCUCUGUCUUCUCUCCCACCACACCCAGGGAAACCCCUGGUGUCCAGGAAACCAAAGCUAAAGAUGAAAAACUUCUGACUUUGAUGUCGUGGUUUCCAAGUGCAGCCUAAGGUAGAAAGAUUUGGAGGCAUAUUUGAGCCUUUCUGAUUGCAAACCCUUGCUAAGACUGGCCUGGGCUGCAAGACAAGAUACUGUGAGUGGUGGGGGAGGAAUUGGCACAACUGAGGAAGGCGAGAAAGGAGUCAGGUGAGUGAGGUCCUCGGUGCAGUAAAAAUGGGUGGAGGAACAAGAGAGCAGAGAUAACUUGGGCCCAGUUGUCCUCAGACUAGUCCAUUGCCUUGGACAGCCUGUUCUCCCAUAGUCCUGGGUGCAUACAGAGUCCUGAAUAGAGGGACUUAUAUGGGGAAUCAGGCUUGAAGGGGAGGUUGUGCUCGUCAAUGGAAGUUGAACAGAACGAAGUCGGUAGAGAAUUGAUUUUCACUUAGGAUGGGUGAGGAUUUAGCUCUCGGCUUCCACUAUUCCCUUUGCUUCCUAUCACCAUCUUCUUUGGUUAUAAUUUUGGAUUAAAUAACAUUUGGUAUUAAUAUUUUUAUAAUCACACAAGGGUUAUUCACAACUGAGCAGCAUCAUAAACUCUGAUUGGUCCCUUCUUGCUUUGAUGUUUUUCCUGAGGAUAAUAGUUGCCUUGUUUUUCAUUGCUCAGUUUCUUUGUGCCUGUAAUUUUCCCCAUGCUUUUCAAUAGCCUCUCAGUGCUAUUCUCAGCAAGGUCAAUAACCUCAGUUAAUCAGCUGGGUCCACUUUGUUUGUGGAGAUAUCCUCCGCUGCAAACCUCUUUACUCUUCUGUCUGGAAUGAUUGCAUAGGUCGUAUCCUGGGACUUCCCUUUACAUCCCCCCAACCCAGCUUUAUUGAAGUAUGAUUGUCAAAUAAAAUAAAAUAUGUAUAUACUUAAAGUAAAUAACAUAUGUAUGCCUUGUAUUCCUCAAUCAAGCUAAUAUAUUUAUCACUUCACAUAGUUAUGUGUGUAUGGAAUUUCAAGUGUACAGUAUAUUAUUAAGUGUAGUCACCAUGCUGUACUUAGAUUCCCAGAACAUAUUCAUCUUACUACUGCAAGUUUGUACCCCUUGACCAACGUCUCACCAUUCCUUUCCCUGCUUCCCAGCCCUUGUCCAUCCCCAUUCCACCUGCUGUUUCUAGGACUUCUUUAGGUUCCACAUAUAAAUGAGAUCAUGCAGUACUUGUCUUUCUGUGUCUAGUUUAUUUCACUUAAUAUUAUGUCCUCCAGGCUUAUCCAUGUUGUCGCAAAUGCAGGAUUUUCUUUUCUUUUUUUAGGGAUAAAUCACAUUUUAUUGUAUAUAUACCACAUUUUUAAUCCAUUCGUCCAUCACUGGAUCCUUAGAUUGUUUCAUUAUCUUGGCUAUUGUGAGUAAUGCAGCAAUAAACAUGGGGCUGCAGAGAUCUUUUAUAUCCUUUGCAUAUAUACACAGAAGAAGGAUUGCUGGAUUAUAUGGAAUUUAUUUCUUUUCUUUUCUUUUUUAUUUUAAGAGACGACCUGUCACUCAGGUUGGAGUGCCAUGGUGCAAUCAUAGUUCACUGCAGCCUCGACCUCUCAGGCUCAAGCAAUCAUCUUGCCUCAGCAUCCUGAGUAGCUGGGACUACAGGUAUGUGCCACCAUGUCCAGCUAAUAUUUUUACUUUUUGUAGAGGUAGGGUCUCACUAUGUUGCCCAGGCUGGUCUUGAACUCCUGGCCUCAAGCAAUCCCUUCUGCCUCAGCCUCCCAAAGUGCUGGGAUUACAGGCGUGGGCCACUGUGCCCAGCCUCUCAUAAGGCAGUUUCAUUUUUAGUUUUAUUUUUGCAGAGCCUUCAUACUGUCUUCCAUAGUGGCUGUGCCAGUUUACAUUCCCGUCAACCGUGGGAAUGUUUCCUUUUCAUCACAUCUGGCCACUUGUUAUCUUUUGAUUUCCCCCCAGCUGUAUUUAGAUAUGAUGAACAAAUCUUUUUACUUUAACUCAUGGAAUUCCUUCUGCCUUUUUCCUGCUUGGAUUCUCUGUUUCCUGGAUCUCACAUCUUCCUAUUUUUUGACUUUAUCUCCUUGGUUGGUGGAGCACAUCCUCCCAUUGUUUCAUCCCAGGGAGGAGGUGGCACGAGGCUGAGGAGGCAGUGACAUCGAUAGUGGCGUGCUGCCUCAGAGUCACACGGCCUGUUCUGGCUGGGGUGCCUGCUGUGCCCUACACUUAUUUGUCAUUGCAGAAUUUUUUAUUGUUGUUCAGCUGAAGAUUUACAUCAUCCUAGAGAUUUCCAUUUCCUUCUAGGUUGGACUUCUUAAUAUUCUAUAUUCCAUGUCUUCCUUUAUCUUGGCUCAUUCUCUUCUUUGGGGGAAGCUACCCUCUGGCUGCUUCCUGGAAAAUGAUAUGGGCAAUUACUUUUGUUGUUGUUGAGAACUUACAUGUCUGCACCUGUUUUGUGCUGCCAUCAGAUCUGCUCGAUAGUUGUGGUUAGAAUUCUACUUGGGAAAUCAUUGUCCUUUUGGGUUUUGAAGGCAAUACUCCAUUGCCUUCUAUUUUUCCAGUGUUGACAUUUGCAAGUCCCCGAUCCUUUGUAUGUGACCUGUCUUUUUCUUCGGAAAUUUGAAACACAUUCUCUUUACGCUCGGUAUUCUGAAAUAUCAUUUUUCUUGGGCGUCUGACAAUUGGUUUUCCUGGGGCUAAGAGUGGGGGACUAGACAACUGAUUACAAGCUCUGUGCACCUAGGCGGUCAUCGUCAGCUUGCAGCUUAUUCUAGGAUGGACCAUUCUCAGGGUCUCUAGGUUUUUCCUCUUUCACUGAUUAGAAUCCCAGGGGAGACUUCCAAUUUCCUGCCUAGAUAUUAAAGAUCUGGCUGCCAAUGUUCUGAGAAGCAAGUUAGGAAGAAGGAAGUGAGUUUCUGCAUUGGUAUUUAUAUGUACAGGUUCAUUUAAUCUCCACAUAGGCCAAAGACCCUCUGUUCUACUCUUUCCAGACUUCUACUCUGGGCAGCCUUCCUGAGCCUUGGAGUUUAAGUGCCCAGUGGGUUCCUCUUGCCUGCUGUCCAGACAGAGUUGAUUUAUUAAGGCAAGGAAGUUGAAACAGAGAAAGAGUUUUGCACACGUAGAGCUGGCUGAAUGGGAGGUCAAGGUUUUAUUAUUCCCCAAAUCAACCUCCCUGAAAGUCGGGAGGUUAGGGUUUUUCAAAGAUUGUUUGGGGUAAGAGAGGAGUGGUGGCUAGGCUGGGUGUUUCCUGCUGAUUGGUCAAGGCUGCCAUCACUGGGCUGUGGGAAAUGGUUCUCCUGGCGCUGAGUCACUUCUGGUUGGGGCCACAGGAGGGGUUGGUGGGUCCAGGUGGGGUCAUCAGUGUCAGACAUGCAAAAAACCUGAAAAGACAUCUUAAAAGGCCAAUCUUAGGUUCUACAAUAGUGAUGUUAUCUUCAGGAGUCAUUGGGGAAGUUACACACCUUGUGAACUCCGCAAUAAUGUCUGGUAAUAAUUUAUGUGUACACCUUAGCAGAAUUUGGGCUCCUCUCAUCCUCCCAGCUUGGUGGCCUUUCAUUAGUUUUACAAAAGCAAUUUUGUUUGGAGAAGGACUAUUAUCAUUUAAACUAUAAGCUAAAUAUCUCCCAAAGUUAGCUUGGCCCAAGCCCAGGAAUAGUUAAGGGCAGUUUGAAGGCUAAAGGCAAGAAAGGAGUUGGCUAAACCAGAUUUCUUUCACUGCCAUGAUUUUCUCACUGUUAUAAUUGUUGCAAAGGUGGUUUCAGGGGGACUGGCUCACAAUGGACUCUGGGCUUCUGUUUUCUCUUGCCACCUAUCUACAAGCAAGAAUCCCACUUCAUGUAACUAGAUUUGGGGUGGGGUGGGGAUGGCGUGUUCUGUCUCACCAGACUCAGACAAGUUGUUAACCAGUUCCCUGUGAACCUACUUCACAAAACUGGCCCAGUGAGCAGGGUCUGGUCUGACAGGACCAUGGCUUCUUGGCAAAGUGGGAGGGUGGUACCCCUCAGUACCCAGCCCAGGCAGAGACAUCAGCCUGGGGGUGCAGGGGGCUGGACAUGAAGCUGGAAGUUUUAUAGAGAAGGAAGGGUGAUAAGUGGAACAGAGGUCACCCUCCCUACACACACAAACACACACACACACACACACACACACACACACACAGAUGAGAGAGAGCUGGCUGUAGGGACUGACAUGGGGAGAAAAGAAUAUGGAAAUGAGAGCAUGGCACACAACCCCCUGGUUGCUGGGCACUCAUGUGAUCACUCAUUCCCGGGGCUGGAGAGUUCAGGAGUGGGUACGCAGGUGGACCCUGGGGUACCCGAGAGGGAACCCGCAUGCACAAUGUGGGUCUUCACAGAAAAGGAGAAUUUGGAUCUAAGGGACAGAUGUGGGCAAAAUGCAGGGGAGGCCAUGUCGUGGCUCUCUGGGAUAGCUGAUGAGAGAGGACAGAAGAAAUGGUGCAAUUAAGGGUGGGGACAAGGUCUCCAGGCCCCCACCAUGCUCCUGUCAAAGAAGAGAAAAAUUAAACUGAUGCCAUCGGCAGGUUUGAGGACAGACAUGGCGACUGACAGUGCCUAUUUGCUGUGGGUGGGGCCCUUUGAGCCAUUUUGGGCACAGUGACCACGGUUCCCACCUCUGCACUGUAGCAGGGGUCCCAACCCCCUGGGCCACAGACUGGUACUGACCUGUGGCCUGUUAGGAACCAGGUCGCACAGCAGGAGGUGAGCAUGGACGAGGGAGUAUCACCACCUGAGCUCCGCCUCCUGUCAGAACAGCGGCGGCAUUAGAUUCUCACAGGGGCACGAGCCCCACUGUGGACUGCGCAUGCGAAGGACUUAGGUUGCGUGCACCUUACGAGAAGGUAAUGGUAAAUAUAAUGGGCUUGAAUCGUCUUGAAAGCAUCCACUCCCCUGUCUUGGAAAAACUGUCUUCCACAAAACCAGUCCCUGGUGCCAAAAUGGUUGAGGACCUCUGCAUUAUAGGCAUCGACACUUGGGCUGCUGUGGCACAGAACGUCACACCACCUAGACGGCAUGCCCUCACAGCAACAGCGGCGCAGAUCCACUCCUGCCUACCACCUAAGCUCCCCAAGCCCCAGUGGGGUGUUCAACAAAAGCAGUACUGAAUGCAAAGUGGAGAACAGGACUUUGCGUUAAUUCUGAUAAAAAUGUUACAAACCAUUCUGUCGCAAUGUGACGGUUGACUUUGGCUGGUCAAAAAGACCUUCAGGGGAUGGAGACCAACAACAGACUGUUGCAGGCUGAACGCCAAGGCCACUUGGGCAGGAAGCCAAAGAAAUAUCCCAGAUGCCAUCAAGCAAAAACUGUUGGCCUGGCAGCAUCCACUAAUCAAGAGGAGGUUCCAUAGCAGGUAGGUCUCUUUGAGUGCUGGAGACAGCAUAUACCCACCUUGUGUUCUUUUGCCCUCCUUAGUCAAGGUGACAGGCAAAGCUGCCAACUUUGAACAGGGCCCUUUGUAAUAGCAGGACUUGGAAGUCACUUAACAACUUUUGUCUGGGGCACAGCCUUUAAAACUUUUAGAGUCUGCUAGCCCAAUGGAAUUAUAGGUGUCUGCCAUCUCCACACGUGCCAAUUGGAGCCUCUUGCAACAGGAAACUGCCACUGGGGUGCACCGGCCUCAGGUUUUGGACACGUAAUUCCUAAAGCAGCCCCCAGAUGUACAUCUAUUGAAUGGCAACUGCUUGAUUGCUACUGGGCAGUGCAGGAAACUGGACAUCCACAUGUGAUGUUGCAACCUGAACUGUCCAACUUGAAUGCUUACAAAUUCCACCAAUAAAAUCAAACAGGCUCAUCAGAGCUCAACUGUUAAGUGAAAAUAGUACCUUUAAGAUUGGAUCCAGCCAGUAUCCAAGGGGCCGGUGGGCUUCAUGAAUAAUGGCUAGCUUGACAGAAGGUACCAUGUGAGCUGACAGGGGUGCUUCAGCUCCUCCUGGGGCUACCUGGGACCCAAGAUUCAGAUUCAGAGACUGGACUGCCUAUGAUAUGGCAUGGCUUACUGACAGCUCUGCAAAACAACGAGCAGACAGGGUCCACUGGGCUGCGGCCACUGUCCAGCCAGUGAAUGGCUGUCUUUCAAUUGAGACUGCACAUGGAUGUUCUGUCCAACGGGCUGGACCACAGGCAGGGGUGAUGGCCAUGCAAGCCACCACCAUAUCUUGUUAGAUAUUCACUGAUUCAUGGACUGUGGCUAACAGCCUACAUGACUGUUCAGGAGAAUGGCUACUGAGUGGCUGGACUAUUAAAGGGUUUCCUGUUAAAGGACUAUGACAAUAGCUUGCUGCCUGGAAGGGACACAGAGAUGUCACUCAAGUGGAUGUUGAGACUACCAUGGCCGCCCUUGAGAGGAGCUUCUGUCAUGUUUUUGGAUAUCCCGGAACCUCACUCUGCCCAAGGAACAUCCUUCACUGCCUUAGCAGUAUAACAGUGGGUGCGUACUCACGAAAUAGGAUAGACUUUCCACGCGCGCUGUCACCUGCAGGCCAGCGGGGCUGCUGAAUGAUGGAACCAUUGCCCACAACGAAACCGAAGACAGGACAUCAAGAUGGCCUGCUAGCGGGGUGACACCAUCUGACUAGGGUAUUAUGGACCCUAAACUCUGUACUCCCGCACAAGGGAAGUGCCAAGACCAGCUCAGUCAGGGAGACCCUAACCCAGCGGCGCUAGAGGGAAGCGUGACACUGCAGGGCACAUUGAGAGACACUGGGCUUGUAAGGGUGACGGUGAUGGGGGGGCGGCAGGCAGCCACCUGAUUAGGCUGCACCUGUGAAAUCCCAAUCUCAGCAUUCCCAACCAUUCUUUUUCCCUUCUCCCUUUAGAGUGCAUGUCCUGAAGGUGGUUUGUGGUUCAGGCUGCCAUAGUACCCCAGACAGGGCCCCCAACUUGAACCUGGACUCAAUACUUCCCCUGGGGGUCUCCCCUCUAUGGGGUCCCACAGGAGUGGGGAUGGGACCAAGGAAUACCAAAGCGCUAGGGUCUCUCUAGUGGCAGGGGGAACAUCUGACUUUCCACUAGAAUGGGCAACAUUAUCGGACAUGUUGUUUGUACAGGACGUGAUACCCUUUCCUGGACUAGAUGACUGAGGCCUGAAGGUCUGAGUCAUGCAACAGGGGCCAUGGGUGCCACAGAGGUAGUGGCCUGGGCUGGGGCAGACAGACUUGGUCACUGCAGCAACUCAGCCCACCCUUGUCCACAGGUGGGGAACACCUGGAACUGCGAGUGGGGGAGGGGCACUAAUGUGUCUGCUUUUCCACAAAGACGUGGGAGCAGACGCCCAGGAGCCCAAUGCCUUUGUCAGGCUCUCUGAGCUGUAGCCCUCCCAGGCAACCUGGCAAACUGCUAGAUCUGCCCUUCUGGACCUCGUUCUGUCCCUGACCAGAGCAACCCUCUCAUCCCAUCAGCGGUGAAUGACAUCUGUGUGUCUGACACCACCACACACCCAACGGGGCCUGAGCCCUGGCUGACGGAGGGAGGCUCUGGCACCCAGGCAUGGGAGGGAGCUGGAGGUGCCAUGUUUUAACUUAACCGAUUCUGCAGCAAAAUGGCAUGAACACGACUAAUAAGCCUCUCCAUGGGCUGGUCCUUUGACACACCACACUCCUUUGUUUCCAUGGACAGGAGGUGUCCCCAUGCAAUAAAGAAAAUAAGAAUUGGAUUAGUAGCAGCCAUCUGUGCAGGGGAGACUGAGCUCCGCAACUCUGUGUCCAUGAGGCUUGGCUGGUUAACGACAAAUACUGAAACUCAGUCUUGGCCUGAACCUGGUGACCUGGAGCUGGUGGAAGGCCUGGUGAGAGACAGCUCAGACACUGGCUCACUCUUUCCUGGCUGAAGCCUGACUCCUGGUGGACAGAAACAUCAGCGACAGACUUCUAUUUUCAAACGUCUACAUACACAUCUUAGGGAAAGUUUAUUUAUCCCCUCAUUUUGUCAUUCAACAAAUAUGUACUGAUCACAUUCUACAUGCCAAGCAUGAUGGGAAUGUAAAAAUAAAUUUGAGAUGACGUCUUUGAGGAAAA